AGUGUAGGCGGCUACGUAAGUCGGAUGUGAAAGCCCUGGGCUCAACCUGGGAAUUGCAUUCGAUACUGCGUAGCUAGAGUUUGAUAGAGGUAAGUGGAAUUCCGGGUGUAGCGGUGAAAUGCGUAGAUAUCCGGAGGAACAUCAGUGGCGAAGGCGGCUUACUGGACCAAAACUGACGCUGAGGCUCGAAAGCGUGGGGAGCAAACAGGAUUAGAUACCCUGGUAGUCC
rnacentral:rRNA from 1 species